rnacentral:rRNA from 1 species
CAGUAGCCGCGGUAAUACGUAGGGUGCAAGCGUUAAUCGGAAUUACUGGGCGUAAAGCGUGCGCAGGCGGUUAUAUAAGACAGAUGUGAAAUCCCCGGGCUCAACCUGGGAACUGCGUUUGUGACUGUAUAGCUAGAGUACGGCAGAGGGGGAUGGAAUUCCGCGUGUAGCAGUGAAAUGCGUAGAUAUGCGGAGGAACACCGAUGGCGAAGGCAAUCCCCUGGGCCUGUACUGACGCUCAUGCACGAAAGCGUGGGGAGCAAACAGGAUUAGAUACCCCUGUAGUCCCUGUCUCUUAUAC